GUGGGGAAUAUUGGGCAAUGGGCGAAAGCCUGACCCAGCAACGCCGCGUGAAGGAAGAAGGCCUUCGGGUUGUAAACUUCUUUUAUGAGGGACGAAGGACGUGACGGUACCUCAUGAAUAAGCCACGGCUAACUACGUGCCAGCAGCCGCGGUAAUACGUAGGUGGCAAGCGUUGUCCGGAUUUACUGGGUGUAAAGGGCGUGUAGGCGGGACUGCAAGUCAGAUGUGAAAUUCCAGGGCUCAACCCUGGACCUGCAUUUGAAACUGUGGUUCUUGAGUGAUGGAGAGGCAGGCGGAAUUCCCUGUGUAGCGGUGAAAUGCGUAGAUAUAGGGAGGAACACCAGUGGCGAAGGCGGCCUGCUGGACAUUAACUGACGCUGAGGCGCGAAAGCGUGGGGAGCAAACAGGAUUAGAAACCCCUGUAGUCC
rnacentral:rRNA from 1 species